rnacentral:rRNA from 1 species
UACGAAGGGGGCUAGCGUUGCUCGGAAUCACUGGGCGUAAAGGGCGCGUAGGCGGCACUGUUAGUCAGGCGUGAAAUUCCUGGGCUCAACCUGGGGACUGCGCUUGAUACGGCAGAGCUAGAGGAUGGAAGAGGGUCGCGGAAUUCCCAGUGUAGAGGUGAAAUUCGUAGAUAUUGGGAAGAACACCGGUGGCGAAGGCGGCGACCUGGUCCAUUACUGACGCUGAGGCGCGACAGCGUGGGGAGCAAACAGG